rfam:Burkholderia sp. TSV85 TSV85_40, whole genome shotgun sequence.
AUGAAUGCCUGUCCGCCCCAUUUUUCUCGCUGCUGCGCCUGUAGUCGACACGAUGCGUGCGUGCAUCUGACGCGCAGCGCGACGGUUGAAGCCGAGCCGCUCGCCCCUGUUCGGGGGAAGCGGCUUUUUUC